rnacentral:rRNA from 1 species
GACGAACGCUGGCGGCGUGCCUAAUACAUGCAAGUCGAGCGAGCGGAACUAACAGAUUUACUUCGGUAAUGACGUUAGGAAAGCGAGCGGCGGAUGGGUGAGUAACACGUGGGGAACCUGCCCCAUAGUCUGGGAUACCACUUGGACACAGGUGCUAAUACCGGAUAAGAAAGCAGAUCGCAUGAUCAGCUUUUACAAUGCGGCGUAAGCUGUCGCUAUUGGAUUGCCCCGCGGUGCAUUAGCUAGUUGGUAAGGUAAAGGCUUACCAAGGCGAUGAUGCAUAGCCGAGUUGAGAGACUGAUCGGCCACAUUGGGACUGAGACACGGCCCAAACUCCUACGGGAGGCAGCAGUAGGGAAUCUUCCACAAUGGACGCAAGUCUGAUGGAGCAACGCCGCGUGAGUGAAGAAGGUUUUCGGAUCGUAAAGCUCUGUUGUUGGUGAAGAAGGAUAGAGGUAGUAACUGGCCUUUAUUUGACGGUAAUCAACCAGAAAGUCACGGCUAACUACGUG